GCUCUCUUCGGGGACAUCCGAUAAAAUUGGAGCAAUACAGAGAGGGUUAGCAUGGCUAGACCCAUGCACAAGGAUGACAUGCACAAAUUGAGUGCUGGUCCAAAGAAAA
rnacentral:snRNA from 2 species